CUCUAGCAUCGCCGCCACCACUACCCACUACCUAUCUCCAUCAAAAUCACUCCGAACACACAAUUCCACCUUCAACUAUCCCCAGAACAACAUCUAGGGCCCAAGAUCUACAAGAAAGGCUUUCUAAAUGUGAAUCACGAAUUCGACCGUCGUCGAUGGGACCCACUUGGACGGACCUAUACCCAUGGCAUCGCCACCCUAUCCUGCUACUAUUCCAUCUAUGAGUUUUCAUCGGUCGGAUCAAAAUCAGCGCUCAAAUUCCAGAUUGAGAAUUUUCUAAAAUUCCUGCUAUUUCCUUUCAACUUGCUCCAGGAGAUGUUUUACGUGUGCUUACGAAAUCAAAAGGGUAAUACUGAGGUGCUCGCAUCAACUUCUAUUUUGAUUAAGGUGGAAAAAUUGUUUGAUUUCUUUUUCACGCUUGGGGCCUGUUGUUAAUUUGUGCAUUGGAGUGAUUCCAAUAAUACUAUAGAAAAAUACAAGUCAAUACCCAAAAUCACAAGAAAUGUUGUGAAUAUGUUGUUACAGAAGUACUCUUCUUUCUUAUUUGUGGUUUUUCUGCUUGAGAGAAACUGUAAAAUCGCCAUUUCUUUUUAAUGCUUUUGAUUCUCUUUUAGUUCUA
rnacentral:lncRNA from 1 species